UCAGAUAAGAUUUAAUGUCAGAGUUUCUAAUCAAAUUUUCUACCUUUGUAUUCCCCAGAUUCAUCUAUCCUGCUGAUCCCGAGGAAUUAUUCCACUAACCAGACAAGAUCAGGAUAGAACACCGACUUCAAAACUACUUGUGUCAUCCUUGAAGAUACUGUUGGUGGAAUUAAUCGCUUCUCCAUAUACCAGAGCACUGACAUCCUGAAUUUGUUACAUCAAAGGAUAUUGACUGAGAAGACAAAUAAUUAAAUGACCCGUAACACAGCUGGAAAACUUUACCAUAGAAGCAAUGGUACCAGGACUGGCAGCGAAGGAGAAUACCCAAGAAGAACAGAAAUUACAUGCAGGAGAUUUACAGCUAUUCAGGGUGAAAGAUGCUGUGUUGUCUUCUUACAGAACAUCCUAAAAUGUGAGUAGAACAAUAACUCUGAAUUGUGGAUAAUACUAGAACAGUGCACAGAAUUUUAAUCUGGUAUAACUACAUGUCAUUAGUAAAAGGCCUUCCUCGUUACUGUGUGCAUGGUUGCUUCCUGUCUCUUACUGGUUAGGUGAGUAAUUAGGUGAUGAUUGUAUGAUACCUUCAAUGCUCCAGUGGUUUUUACAACUGCAGAUCAUUAAAAUUCAUUUUGUUGUAAUUGGGCAAUAAUGUAAGAAGCAAUUUUACCUCUGUACCUUAGUAGUUGCCAACAUUUCUCUGAAAGACUCAGUCUUUGCCCAUACAGGAAGGUUAAACUGAUACGCUAUGAAACAUUUUCAAAGUAAUACAACUCCCAUGCAGAUAUUCUUAGUACAUAGUAGUUUCUCCACAGUUCAGUUUAAACAUGUUUGCAGUCAAAUUCUUAAUUAAGAAAGAUCUGAAGUAUAUGAUGAUCAGUUCAGAGGAUCUGUUUGUGUGGAAAUUUCUUUGCUGUUAUUUGUAGUUGGUUUUUGUGUUAAAAGAGCCCACAAGGCAAAAUCGAAAUUAAUCUUUACGUAAUAGCAGCUUCUGCUUGCUGUAGCAACUUCAGGAGUAUGAAGAACAGAGUACUUUAUCACACUUCUUUUUAGGGGGGAGGAGAGAUUUCAGGGCAACAUUUUACUCUCUAUACCAAGCUUAGAUAAUAUCCAAUCCUGGUGCACUCUCCCCUUUGAAAGUGAGAUUAUAAAUCUUUAUAAAGCUGUUCCUCACUGAGCAUGUAAGGUACAACACAGGAAUUGAAAAUGAAAACAGGAAUUUCUCACUUGCUGUGAAUAUACUUUUUAAAUUAUUAUUAUUUUUAUUUUUUUAUUCCAUAAUUUAAUUACUAAGUAUGACAUUUUUAAUACACUUUUUGUGCUGGGAGGUUGGUCCCAUAUAUCUUGUAUUAGUCAAAGGACUGGAAAACUCACUGUAGUUUAGAACGUAUGUAGAAACCUGGACUGUAAUUCACAACAAGAACUGAAAGGGUGUGUUUGACUUGGAUCUUCUAAGACACAAUUCUGAGUUCUUAAGUGCUCUUUUAUGUUUGCGUCAAUGCUGAAUAUUUUUCCCCAGAUAUAUAUCACUAAGCACAUGAGCUGUUUUGAAUGAGAAAACUGGGUGAGGAACAGCAGUUUCAUUUUAAUCAAAAUAAGUGCUUUGCAGGUUAAAUAGCUUCAAACCAAUGUUUUGAAUAAACAAAUUAAUUAAAGACCAAGGAAACUCAAUUUGCUGGUACUUUCAAAUAAAAAGUGCCGAAAUCUGGAUCCGCAUCAGGUUCAUUCAUUCCAGAAUGACUUGUACACAACUCAUGAAAUCACAAAUGUCUAAUCACAAAUGUCUGUUUUCUCUUAAAAAGACACACAAAGAAUAAAGUGAUUACUUUAUAUAUGUUCUUUCUUUAUUGUAGUAAGUUAUUAAAAGAGUAGACCUUUAUAAUGUCACUCACCUGUUUUGUGGGUGCUUUAUUUACUAUAUUAUAUGUUACACAACUUCUCUGAACACAUACUUAAAAAUAGUUCAAUGUAUAAGCAAGGCAGGAUAUCUUUUCAGCAAACACUCUAUAUUUUGAUAUUUUAAAAAUUAAUUUCCCCUUUUAUUUUAUUUCACCUGUUUGACAGUGUUUUCAAUACCAGUAACAUUUACUGAGCCCUUGGGACGUUAAUGAAGUGGGGAAAAAAAAAAAAAAAA